UCCUCUAUGUCUUUCAUUUUCCCUUCAAUAGUAUCACUUACAAACUGCUUAAUACGAACAUUUGCUUUUGACAUGUCAAAUGUAGCCAUUAAUGGAGAAUUCUGGUUAUCGAGUAAACGAACCUCUACAUCACUUUCAGUUUCUAAUGUGGUCACUGAGGUCAACCAAAACACUGCGUAUCCAUAAAUCAACAUUUGAAACAUUAUGAAGUUGUUCUUGCUUCUAUUAUUUGUUGUUUAUUGACUGAAUC
rnacentral:lncRNA from 1 species